AGAACAUCAAGAAGCUGCCGGCGAAAUCCCUCCAGUUGUGAGAGCCCAAUCCUGAGGGAUAAAGAAUAUCAGAUGCACUGAUGCAGGCAAAGAAAAGCAGGCAGCUUCCCACUCCAGCAUGGAGAGACUGCAGUCUUCUCUGCCUCAGAUGCGUGGAGGAGCAUGAUCUACAUGAGGACAAAGUGAUAUGAUUUACAUCACUACUGAUGUAUUGAACAACUGUGGCCACAGAGUCUGUCAUCAUAGGCAUCCCUCUGGGCAUUCAACAGAAGCAACUCCUAUCUGUGACAGGGCACGUCAGAAGUUGACACCUGAGUUAACAGAGGGACGUGGGUGGAAAUAUGAACCUAUCUCCUGACCACAAUGCACAGAAGCCUCACCAAAUCACGCCCAAAGGCCUG